GUGAGUCAGUUAGUUAGUUAGUUAGUUAGUUAGUUAGUCAGUCAGUCAGUCAGUCAGUUACUUAGUUAGUUAGUCAGCCAGUUACUUAGUUAGUUAGUUAGUCAGUUACUUAGUUAGUUAGUUAGUUAGUUAGUUAGUUAGUUUAUAAUCUCUUUGUGAAAGUCUUGUGUGUCUUUGCACAUGUUGCUUUGUCUCCAUGUACUCAUGCAUCCUUUUUCUUUUGUUGCCGUGUUCCUUUUGUGGUCCUUUUGUCAUUCUUAUGUACUCUGAAUCUCUGUAGUAAUGUCGUUUUUGUUUCGUUCUUUUCCUUUUGCAUGUUUUCUGUAGUGCAGUGCAGUUCAGUCAUUGGGUGUCCCAUGUGGGGAACUUGACUGUGCACAACAUGAAAGACAACAAAACGUGGGGUCAGCUGACCUCUCAAAGUGCUGCAAUGCUAAGAAUGAUGCUGACAUGGUGGGCACCCUCGAGAAGGUUUGUUAAUUCAAAAGCCUUAAUACUUAAGAGGGCAUUGUCCUCUUCUAACGUACCAGUAAAUCUCGCUCCACCUUUCCACAUUUACGGUAUGAUUAAUAUGCUAUACAUUAAAAAUGUUGACAGUGAUACAAUGAUGUACAUUUACAGAAUCAACAAUGCCUUCCGUUAUCGCUUCCCUCUUCUUUCCUCCUCCCUGUCUGUCUACCCAGAUGGCGUGUGGAGCUGUGCAGCAGUGGCACAGGGUAUAGGUUUGGGGCCAUGGCUGGGCCAAGAGUGCAGACACAGGUGGACCUAGCGUGACAGAUAAUAUAUGUGUGAACUGUUGUGGCCUCUCUCAACACAUACUGCCAUCAGCUGGCCUUUUGCUCACAGGGGCAGGAGGGGCGGGGGGUGUGAACAGAAACCAGCAGCUAGGCAGGGGUGUGUUUGUGUGUGUGUGUGUGUGUGUGUGUGUGUGUGUGUGUGCAGAGGAUACAUUGGAGGUGGGGGUAAGGAGACAGCUUGAAAAGAAAAAGUCAUCACAGGGGAGACCUUCUGUUGCCAUUGCUGUGGCCAGACGUGUCCCUCUGACACACACACACACACACGCACACACACACACACACACAACUUAGAGUCAACUCCUUCAUUUACUGUCACAGUCACGGCAGGAAAAAUUCCGAAUGUAAGGUUUACAGCAAAAAAUAAGUGUAGCUUACCUUGAGGUGAAGACCUGUCUAUGGACAAGGUAUGAAAAGUGUUGUAGUAUAGUUUAUUGUCGUAUCACUCUAAUAACCUCUCUUCAAGGGGAUCAAAGUCAGCAUACAAAAUAAGAUCCCUAUGUUCUCCAGGACCACUUUCCUUCAACAAUACCACACUACUGCUUGAUAACUGGAUGUCCUGUCCUGUUCCCUAUUGCAGUACUGACUUUUAGAAUAUUCUAAACCUCAGAAACGCAUAUGUGUCAAGGCUGUUAAACCAGAUUGCAUGAUUUUGUAAAGUGCUUCAGUCACAUUCUUUUUUUGUCCUUCUUUUUGUACAGGUGUGUGUGGCCUGUCUUUUCCUUUGGGACCGCCAUGCAACAGUGGCCCCUGAGCUAACAGUGCCAUCCGUUCUCACCAAGCUGGACCCCUGACUCCCUGUGGGUGAGACGGUGCACUGCUGACGACCACACACACACACACACACACACAUACACACACACACACACACAAGAAACUCUAAAGUGUCUCCAGAGCACAGGACGUCUGUCACACACAUACCCCCAUACCCCACGUACAUCCAUCCAUGUUUGGGACUCUCUUCCCGACCCUGAUCCUCCCCUCCACUGUUCCCUUCCACCCCCUCACCUUAACUCCAGCCCCAGCUCCCCUGCUCCCAAAGCCCAGGGAAGCAGCAGCCGUGCUGGCUGGCCCAACACCCCAUACCCCUUCAGCCCAUCCCAGGUCGCUUUGAAGUGGCUUCAGGAGAGAGAGGUCAGCCUCGCCCCGGAGACCCGCAUUGAGGUAGGGACAGCUGCGGUCAGACAGAUCCUGUGCAGGGGAUACGUACACACAAGAACUUGCACACACGCACAUACACCAAUGCACACACGAGACCCGACAAGAGCAGCUGCAGCCACACUGUUGAAGGUGUGCUGUACAGCAGGACAGCUUGGGAGCCAGUAUGGUCCAGCACGGCUCUACUGUGCUCUGUUCUCUUCUGGGUCACCUACUUUGCAUUCAGGUGUGAAAUUCAGGUGAUAAAAUGUAUAUAUAUUUAAAGUAACUUCCAGAAUUCAGGUUCAUUCUAAUAAAGAAAGACUGUAGAAUAUAAUCUAUAACUUUGAUUCACACACAUUGUCAACAAAUUGAACAUUACCGCCACUCUACUCAAAGGGAUCAUUUGUGGCAGGGAUAUUGUACUGUAAGAUGUUCCUGUUAUUUUGUCCUUCCCCAGUAUGUGAUGACGAUGGCUUAGUUUAAAAAAUGUAUCAGUGCACCUAAGCAAACUGAAUGUGUUCAACUUGCAAACUGUGCGCCGAUAAGACGACAAGGUUAGUUUUUUUCUUUUAAGUUAGAGUUUAUGUUUGUGUUUUUGUGGGUCUGUGCAUAUGUGUCUACAUGUGUUUGCCUGCUAGCCCGUUUAUCUGCUCAUAUCUGUGCAUAUGUUCACAUUGUCACAUUAUGCAGUGUGUGUGUUUGUGUGUGUGUGUGUGUGUGUGUGUGUGUGUGUGUGCGUGUGGGGGUGGGAGGUUACCUUCUGCUCACGUGCAGACACGUUGUACUCCCUGCAAAAAUACCCUGUUCCACGACUUCCCUAACACACUCAUAAAACACACAUUUAUUUCUAUGAACUGAAUUACAUUUCAAAUCAUACAAUGUUUUACCAUAACUACUCACUUCCAUAUUGUGAAACCACUGCAUUCGAUUUCUCCAGACUCUGAUAUAAGAGGAAAUAUAUCAGGAAAUAUAUGCAACAAAAUAGUCAAUGAGUAAAUGCAAAUAUGGCCUUUUAACAAAUUCUGAUUACAUGCUCAUGAUAAAAGUUCAGUAAACGUAGAAACAUGUCUCUCCAAAUUAUUUUUCUACAACUCUCACUUGCAAUGAUGGCCAGAGAGGUUAUUUGAGUUCAGUGUCUACACUGGAAAGUAGUAUUUCUAAUACUUGUGAGGGCAGGAUUAGUUAUAACUGAGGGUAAAAGUAAUUAUGUGAUUGACCGCUGCUUAGUGGCAGUAAUGUAGGAGUUAUUUUGCUCUAUGGUGAUAAAUAGAAGGAUGAGCCACAAAGCAGAGUCUCUAGAUUUAUAUACUGCUUGGGUUUGAUCUGACACUUACGUCAUAACCCUUCGGCAGUGACUGUCUGUGACCUGCGAGACUGCAUGUUUCAGGGUGAAGUUUGUUCAUGGACGAGUGGAAAAUGCACAUGUAAAAGGCACUUUCUUAUGUUCUGUUGUAUUAGCCGCUGUGUCAUUGUCAGCUACCAGAAAUGUGUGAAUAUCAGUUUUUUUUGGUUCCUAGUGUUCGUAGACAGAUGUUACAUGCAUGAGGUCUGUCACGGCCCGCCAGAACUAAGAACCCUUGUGGACUUUGAAAAGACUCUUUUGAACUCUUUUGACUUUGUGGACUUUAUUGUUUAUGAUGUCUUUGAUAACCCUUCCUUGUGUGUGUAUCUGUUCAUGUGAAGUUCUUUCAUUGUGAUCUCUUGUGUUUUGUUCAUCUGGAGUUUGGUAUUUCUUGUUUUAUUUUGCAGUCUCUUCCUGUCCUCCUUGUAUCUCAUUUGGUCACUUUACGUUUUCUUGUUUGUUUCUUUUUGGUAACUUAACUUAUUAAUCACACCUCUUGCCCUUACCUGCAUUUGGGUCCUGCUCCAUAAAACCUGACAAGGUCUUGGGAGCAGCUCAAAUGAAUAUACACAUGGAUUCUCUGUCUCUCUCGCUGCUCUUCCAGCUGCAUGGUGGCUUUCCACUGGGUGCCAUCAGUGCUGAUUCCACUCAGUGGUGGAGUCAAUGAAGCAGUGGGUCUAUGGCAGAGAGAGCGAGGGAGAGAAAGGGAGGAGACACCUUUGAUCUGUUUUUGUUCCAGAGGAGGGCUGCCGCUGUGUGACCUUGACGUGUGGCGGAACACAUGCACUUGACAAAGCGGAGUAGAGAGAAGAUGCCUUCCCAGGCUGCACAGACAUAAACUUGAGACCGACAUAGAUGCGCGAAGGUCCCAAAAACCUAUUUUCUGAAUUAACAAUUUGCUACAAGCAAAAGACUUAUAUAAACUUGUAUAUGAGGGUUUGUCUCACUCGUGUUCAGUAGGCAUGACAGUGGGAAAAGUAGAACAUGCUAUCGUGCACACAGAUAUUAAAAACAGGUUUGCAGGGAUAGACUGUAACUAAUGCCAUAUUUUCACAUAUAAUUGUCCAUUAAUAAUACAAAAGAUCUGUAUGGUGUAUAUUCAUUUAAUCAAAACCAAUAUGAUCAUUCCUUUCCAUUGCAUUGUGUUGAUCUGUUCGAAGGCAUGUGAUCACUGUUGUAUAAAA
rnacentral:lncRNA from 1 species